rnacentral:rRNA from 1 species
UACGAAGGGUGCAAACGUUGCUCGGAAUUAUUGGGCGUAAAGCGCGCAUAGGCGGCUUGGCAAGUCGGAUGUGAAAUCCCUCGGCUCAACCAAGGAAGUGCAUCCGAAACUGCUGAGCUUGAGUACUUAAGAGGAUCGCGGAAUUCCCGGUGUAGAGGUGAAAUGCGCAGAUAUCAGGAAGAACACCCGUGGCGAAAGCGGCUCUCUGGAACGGUACUGACGCUGAGACGCGAAAGCGUGGGGAGCGAACAGG